rnacentral:rRNA from 1 species
CCCUUAGAUGUUCUGGGCCGCACGCGUGCUACACUGAGUGGAUCAGCGGGUCAGGUUGCGCGAAAGCGUUUCCUAAUCUUUAAAUCCGCUCGUGAUGGGGAUUGACGGUUGCAAUUUUCUGUCAUGAACGAGGAAUACCUUGUAAGCGCGGGUCAUCAUCCCGCGCUGAAUACGUCCCUGCCCUUUGUACACACCGCCCGUCGCUCCUACCGAUUGAGUGCUCAGGUGAAUAAUUCGGACUGCAGCAAUGUUCGGAUCCCGAACGUUGCAGCGGAAAGUUUAGUGAACCUUAUCACUUAGAGGAAGGAGAAGUCGUAACA